rnacentral:rRNA from 1 species
UACGAAGGGGGCUAGCGUUGCUCGGAAUCACUGGGCGUAAAGGGUGCGUAGGCGGGUCUUUAAGUCAGGGGUGAAAUCCUGGAGCUCAACUCCAGAACUGCCUUUGAUACUGAGGAUCUUGAGUUCGGGAGAGGUGGGUGGAAUUCCUAGUGUAGAGGUGAAAUUCGUAGAUAUUAGGAAGAACACCGGUGGCGAAGGCGGCCCACUGGUCCGGUACUGACGCUGAGGUGCGAAAGCGUGGGGAGCAAACAGG